rnacentral:rRNA from 1 species
GUGGGGAAUUUUGGACAAUGGGCGAAAGCCUGAUCCAGCCAUGCCGCGUGCAGGAUGAAGGCCUUCGGGUUGUAAACUGCUUUUGUACGGAACGAAAAGACUCCUUCUAAUAAAGGGGGUCCAUGACGGUACCGUAAGAAUAAGCACCGGCUAACUACGUGCCAGCAGCCGCGGUAAUACGUAGGGUGCAAGCGUUAAUCGGAAUUACUGGGCGUAAAGCGUGCGCAGGCGGUUAUAUAAGACAGAUGUGAAAUCCCCGGGCUCAACCUGGGAACUGCAUUUGUGACUGUAUAGCUAGAGUACGGUAGAGGGGGAUGGAAUUCCGCGUGUAGCAGUGAAAUGCGUAGAUAUGCGGAGGAACACCGAUGGCGAAGGCAAUCCCCUGGACCUGUACUGACGCUCAUGCACGAAAGCGUGGGGAGCAAACAGGAUUAGAUACCCGGGUAGUCC